GCUCUGCAAUGCCAGAGGGAGGCUUGUGCAAAUAUUCUCAUAGAUUCUGGUGCUGAUCCAAAUAUUGUAGAUGUGUAUGGCAACACAGCUGUCCAUUAUGCUGUUUAUAGUGAUAAUUUGUCAGUGGUGGCAAAAUUGCUGUCCUGUGGCGCAGACAUCGAAGUGAAGAACAAGGCUGGCCACACACCACUUUUACUGGCCAUAAGGAAAAGAAGUGAGCAAAUUGUGGAAUUUUUACUGACAAAAAAUGCAAAUGCAAAUGCAGUUGAUAAGUUUAAAUGCAUUCAUCAACAACUUUUGGAAUAUAAACAAAAGAUAUCUAAAAAUUCUCAAAAUAGCAAUCCAGAAGGAACAUCUGAAGGAACACGUGAUGAGGCUGCACCCUUGGCGGAAAGAACACCUGACAAGGCUGAAUGCUUGGUGGAAAGAACACCUGGUGAAUAGGAUACAGUGAAUUCCUCUUCAAAGAUUUUAGCCUGUAAACAUCCUUUAAAAUUCAAGAGGGGGAAGAUAAAGUACAAUGAGUUCUGAGUUCCUCAUCAAAGAACAAAUAUGUCAGUAUGUUCAGCUUGUCUGUUCUUCGUUCUCCGUUUUAAAGUUUAACUUCCUCGUUCUUUAUGCCUCUUUGCCCCUAGUUUCAUUAAACAACCCCCUUCUAGCCUCUAACACCUGCUUUGUCUUUAGUCAUUCUUAGUCACCUGCUCUGUCCUUAGUCAUCCUUAGACACCUGCUCUGUAACUGUCUUUCCUGCUGAAACUACUCACCCUGCCACUCCAGCUCAUACCCCUGCCCUCUUUGAAAUAGCCAAUCUGAAUUAGCUUAGAGUGUGCAGUCCAACCCUAUCCAAUAGGGAAAAGACACAACAGUAGGGACUAGCUGCGUUAGGAAUAAGAACCCUUUCCUCUCCCUUGUUCGGUGUGAUCUUGCCAUUGUUCCACCUGCAAGACCACUCUUCUAUAGAAGUAAAUUUGCCUUGCUGAAAAA
rnacentral:sRNA from 1 species